GCGGAAAUCUGGGAACGGCUAUAACAUCAAUGAGGCAGGAAAAUAGAUGCUACCUACCUUGCCAAGGUUGGGGUCGAGAGUUCGAAUCCCUUCGCCCGCUCCA
rnacentral:tRNA from 1 species